rnacentral:rRNA from 1 species
GACGAAAGAGGGAGGCGUGCUUAACACAUGCAAGUCGAACGGAAAGGCCCUGCUUUUGUGGGGUGCUCGAGUGGCGAACGGGUGAGUAACACGUGAGUAACCUGCCCUUGACUUUGGGAUAACUUCAGGAAACUGGGGCUAAUACCGGAUAGGGGCUCCUGCUGCAUGGUGGGGGUUGGAAAGUUUCGGCGGUUGGGGAUGGACUCGCGGCUUAUCAGCUUGUUGGUGGGGUAGUGGCUUACCAAGGCUUUGACGGGUAGCCGGCCUGAGAGGGUGACCGGCCACAUUGGGACUGAGAUACGGCCCAGACUCCUACGGGAGGCAGCAGUGGGGAAUAUUGCACAAUGGGCGGAAGCCUGAUGCAGCAACGCCGCGUGCGGGAUGACGGCCUUCGGGUUGUAAACCGCUUUCGCCUGUGACGAAGCGUGAGUGACGGUAAUGGGUAAAGAAGCACCGGCUAACUACGUG